UCAAGUUUCAGCCUUGCGACCGUACUCCCCAGGCGGCGAGCUUAACGGCUUCCCUGCGACACUCCGAUCGCGAACUGCGAUCGGAUCAUCUAGCUCGCAUCGUUUACGGCUGGGACUACCCGGGUAUCUAAUCCGCUUCGCUCCCCCAGCUUUCAUCCCUCACCGUCGAGCGCGUUCUGGCGGACCGCCUUCGCCACUGGUGGUCUUCCGCAGAUCAAAGGAUUUUACCCCUACCUGCGGAGUACCGUCCGCCUCUCUCGCCUCCUAGUCUCGCGGUAUCUCCUGCGGCCCAACCGUUAAGCGGUUGAAUUUAACAGGAGACCUACGAAACCGGCUACGGAUGCUUUAGGCCCAAUAAUCGUCCCGACCACUCGAGGAGCUGGUAUUACCGCGGCGGCUGACACCAGACUUGCCCUCCCCUUAUU
rnacentral:rRNA from 1 species